rnacentral:lncRNA from 12 species
ACUCUUGUGCAGUGACAAGAUUUUGGGCUUUUCUGUCCUUUGUGCAGAAUAUACACCUGGCAGAGUAAUGACCUGAGAGAUUUGAAAGAGCAGCCUGAGGUGUAAAGAGCCAAGUGUGGGUUGUGGAGGUCACUGCGGUAUGAGCCUGGACAGGAACUACAGCCAACUACACCAAUGUAGCUAAAUUGUAGUGCAAAUUAGGUGAAUAGAUAGUCCUAAAUACUGAGGCCAUGUAAAACUUGAUGUUGUCCACCAGCUGCACGAGUUAUUGCUUUCUCAGCCAGGAUCUCUGCAAAGAAUAUAUGUUCAUUUUCAAUGGAAGAAUGUGUCUAUUUGCCCUAAUGAAGAGUCUUUUGAGCUCUGACUAAUGCCUGGGCAGCAGGCCUCUGAGGAAUGUCAGGACACUACCCGUGCGAAAUCAGCAUCACAGCCCCACUUCCUUACUACACUCCUGGAAUUCCUGUCAGUAUGAUUAGAUGUGAAACUCAGGUCUGAAUCACAGAAUACGCAAUUGCCUUUUUCCCUAGACUUUAAAGUCACAGCCAAAUUGCUUGGGUAUUUUGAUCUUUGGAAUUGGGUGUUCUCCUACCCAAACUCCUGUUACUACUUCUGUUUGAAGUGUCAGUGUUUACUCAGUUUCUG